AAUGAACGCUGGCGGCAUGCCUAACACAUGCAAGUCGAACGAAGCCUUCGGGCUUAGUGGCGCACGGGUACGUAACGCGUGGGAAUCUGCCCUUGGGUUCGGAAUAACUCGGAGAAAUCCGUGCUAAUACCGGAUGAUGACGUAAGUCCAAAGAUUUAUCGCCCAAGGAUGAGCCCGCGUAGGAUUAGCCAGUUGGUGGGGUAAAGGCUCACCAAGGCGACGAUCCUUAGCUGGUCUGAGAGGAUGAUCAGCCACACUGGGACUGAGACACGGCCCAGACUCCUACGGGAGGCAGCAGUGGGGAAUAUUGGACAAUGGGCGAAAGCCUGAUCCAGCAAUGCCGCGUGAGUGAUGAAGGCCUUAGGGUUGUAAAGCUCUUUUACCCGGGAUGAUAAUGACAGUACAGGGAGAAUAAGCUCCGGCUAACUCCGUGCCAGCAGCCGCAGUAACAC
rnacentral:rRNA from 1 species